rnacentral:rRNA from 1 species
GAUGAACGCUGGCGGCGUGCCUAAUACAUGCAAGUCGAGCGAACGGACGAGAAGCUUGCUUCUCUGAUGUUAGCGGCGGACGGGUGAGUAACACGUGGAUAACCUACCUAUAAGACUGGGAUAACUUCGGGAAACCGUAGCUAAUACCGGAUAAUAUUUUGAACCGCAUGUUUCAAAAGUGAAAGACGGUCUUGCUGUCACUUAUAGAUGGAUCCGCGCUGCAUUAGCUAGUUGGUAAGGUAACGGCUUACCAAGGCAACGAUGCAUAGCCGACCUGAGAGGGUGAUCGGCCACACUGGAACUGAGACACGGUCCAGACUCCUACGGGAGGCAGCAGUAGGGAAUCUUCCGCAAUGGGCGAAAGCCUGACGGAGCAACGCCGCGUGAGUGAUGAAGGUCUUCGGAUCGUAAAACUCUGUUAUUAGGGAAGAACAUAUGUGUAAGUAACUGUGCACAUCUUGACGGUAACUAAUCAGAAAGCCACGGCUAACUACGUG